rnacentral:sRNA from 1 species
GCUGAGCGUGGUGGUGCACGCCUGUAAUCCCAGCAGCUCAGGAAGCUGAGGCAGGAGGAUCACAAGUUCAAAGCCACCCUCAGCAACAGUGAGCAGCACUAAGCAAGUCAGUGAGAACCUGUCUCUA